rnacentral:tRNA from 1 species
UAGCUCAGUUGGUAGAGCGACAGACUCUUAAUCUGUUGGUCGUGGGUUCGAAUCCCUC